rnacentral:rRNA from 1 species
AUUGAACGCUGGCGGCAGGCCUAACACAUGCAAGUCGAGCGAAGCGGCGGAUGGGUGAGUAACUCGUGGGUAACCUGCCCUUAAGUCUGGGAUACCAUUUGGAAACAGAUGCUAAUACCGGAUACUAACGGAUGGACCUGCGAUGCAUUCGAUAGUUGGUAAGGUAACGUCUUACCAAGGCGAUGAUGCAUAGCCGAGUUGAGAGACUGAUCGGCCACAUUGGGACUGAGACACGGCCCAAACUCCGACGGGAGGCAGCAGGAGGGAAUCUUCCACAAUUGACGAAAGUCGGAUGGAGCAACGCCGCGUGAGUGAAGAAGGUUUUCGGAUCGUAAAGCUCUGUUGUUGGUGAAGCGGUAAUAAACCAGAAAGUCACGGCUAACUACGUGCCAGCAGCCGCGGUAAUAC